rnacentral:hammerhead_ribozyme from 1 species
AUCCAGCUGCACGAGUCCCAAAUAGGACAUCGAAACUCGAGUCAAACUGGAU